rnacentral:misc_RNA from 1 species
AUACUGCCUCGUCUUGCUUUGCAGCAUGUGUUCUUCUGCUUUCUUUAUGACUCCCUGCCGUUGCUGUCUGCUCUUUCCUUCAGCGUGCCCGCUUCUUUGCCAUACAUGAGCUCAGCUCCACUCUACACCCCCUCCACGCCGGUCACAGGCCCCCAUCGCGUGGUGCGAAGCAGCCCUGCACACACGCGUUACAGCCGUGCACCGACUCAGUCACCUGAGCGUGGCCGCUGCCUCACACUCUGCCCGCCCGCCUCACAGCCGCGCCCACUAGUGCCGGUGGCCACCUGGCGCAUCCUUCCCUCGGGGUGGCCUCAGGCUCCCCACACCAGUUGGCAGCGAGGGCCAGGUGAGAUACGUUCAUGGCAUGCUCACACUUCGCCUAUUAUAUGAAUGGCGCAAGCGUGUUCGCCGCCGCAGGUUACGCCAGCACCACGCCAUCCAGGACCUGACCGCCGACAUCAGCAGCGGUACAUCGCUUGGAGCUCGCUAUGCCGCAGGCACUAGGCCAUGCCAGCACCAGAAGUAGCUCGGCAUUGGCAAGGUUAGGUGUGGAGGAGGGGGGCUUAGUGGCUUCUUCACAGAGAGCGGAAGGAGGUGUAUCAGACCCUGAGAUACGGCGCGCUGAGAGGUGUGUGCCCCCUCCCCCUCCGUCAGCUCCUUUGCUGUUCAAAGAAUCGCACAAACAGAGAGAAGGGCUGCUAUGGUGAUGCAGUGGACAUUCUCGCCAUCAUGAUGGGACAUAUGCUCGAUACACGGGCAUUCAUGUACCCGUACAUUGGUCGGCGGAUCUUGCCGUCUCUCGCGUAGGCGAACUCCUUCGCGGCGCUGACCGUCUGUCGCGUUUUGCUUUUAUGCGACGCACUGCGGCGUCGCUCAGAGGCGGCGGAAAUCCCUCGUACAUGAAGCGAAGCACUGCCCCUGCGAGGCAGUACUCGUGGACCUCUGGGCUGUGUGAGCAAAAAGACUCUGCGGGAGGAUUGCAAGGCAUGCGCGUUGCUGUGCGCCUGCCUGCCAAGGGCCAUUCAGCGUACACGACGCUGCUUUGCGUGAAGCACUUGUCAUGCGGCUCUCGCGCACCCACGUCUGUUGCUGUAGCAAGUCCUCCAUGGGCCGACACGCGUUUCCGCACGGCCCUUCAUGUCUCUAUGUGCAUCCCUCCCCCCCCCUGACUGUCUUUCUCUCUCUCGCCAAG